rnacentral:lncRNA from 1 species
ACCCCUAAUAUUUUCGAUGUAACAUCACCUUUCACCACCCUCCUUCUGCCGUCCGCUGCCGGCCGAAAAUCGUCGUUGGCGGCGGCGAUGCUCCAAACAACUCCAAAUUAACACCAAUUGAUCCCCCAGCCUUCCUCUUUCUGAAUACACCAUUACCAACCUUCAAAUCUCAACCAAUCUCCUCGCGGCGCUCCCAAACAACCUCAGAACAACACCCCAUAACCCCUAUACCUUCCUUAUGCCCAGUAUUUAAUUAUUUCCCUUCAAGAUUAUCCAAAUUUGUUCAAACCCAGAUCUGAAGUCCAAAGGUCAAUGGUUCGAGCCAGCCGAUUCCUAGCUUUGGUUUCUUUUAAUCGAAUUUAUAUAAAUCGAUGCCAUGCAGCGAUUGGCCUCAAUUCUAGGUGAAUCAGAGCUUCAAACGCUGUUCAAGUUAUUCAGUGAGUUUAGUGAGCCAUUUUUUUUAAUUCUCGUCCAACCCCUUUUAUGAUUCAGGCUUAAUUAAUCUUGUUUUUCUUCUUUCUUUCUUUGUUUGCCAUCUUGUGUUUGUUUUUCUUAUUUUAUAUUAUUUAUUUUUAUUUUCGUGGAAACAUGAGUCUAUAUCUCUUCUUGUUGUGUUAUUUUUGUGUCUGAUUUUGAAUCAUUUCAGACUGAAAACAUGAAUUUUUCCUCUUUAAAUUGGCGUUUGAUAUCAAGUGUUAUAGGCUGAAAGUAUGAUUUUGUUCCUUCAGUGUUUUAAUUUGGGGUUGUGGAUCCAUGUUUGUUGUUGCUGAGUAUAAGGUAUUAUUUUUGCUUGAAUUUUGGAUGGUCUAGUUUAGUUUAAUCAUAGUUGGAUAGUUCUAGUCCCCUGAUUAUUAACUAGGGCUACUGACCAUGGUGCAAAAGGGUUGACUUUAGGCUUAACCAUGGACAGUAAUUCUUGUUAGACUCAGGGGCAAUCUAGGUAGCCACAGUAAGUAGUAAUGCUGUAGUUGAGAUGGAAAUUUCCUAUAAUCUUCUAUAAGGAGGUUCUAGUUGGUAUUUCAAUAACUUGGUAAGUAUAACUUGGACAACAAGUUAAGAAUUUAGGGACUAAUUGAAUAAAAUUCAAGAAUAAGAGAAGGACUGAUGGUUAAAACAAAAUAGAAGGGUUUCCCUAAGUUUUUGCUAUAAAUAUGCAUACUAAUGCCUUCAAAAAAGAGGGGUUCUGAAGUCUGAAAAUCCUAAAAUUCCCUAAAAUUUUUUCCAGAAAUCCUGAAAAUUUCCCAGGGUUAAAAAUUCCCAAAAACUAUUGUUUCAUUAGGGUGUUUCUUCAGAUUAGUUCUAAUUGUCAACCAUCAAUUUGAAUUGUUAGCUUAAAUAAGAUUAAAAUGAUCUUAAAUACAUGUGUUUGAGAUAUUGAGACUUCACAAGUUUUGUUGGAUUCAAUUUUGAGUGUAUUUGGAGUACAAUUGAGGCUGUUUUGGGUCUGUUGUGGGUACUUCAUGUCCUGGGUUGAAAAUGAUGUUGAUUUGGGCUUCUAAUUGAUCUAAAUAUUGUGUUGCUAUUUGAUUUCAACUACUGAUUCCCGUGUUGCACUAUUGCUGAACUCGUGCUGACUUCUUUUCUCCUUUGUUGAUUGUAACUCCAGGUAUUCCUUAACUUUGAAUAUGUGAAGAACCAGAUCCACAGUUACACUCAUAUUGCUGAAUGAGUGACCAAUUUCUCCUGUUGAUUUCUAGUUUAACUUCUUUCCAUGCUUGUAAUUCAUAUGAGAAUUAUGUAGUGGUAGUGUUUGAUGUCAAUUGUAUAUAAUAGGAUUAUGCAACUGGACUGUACAAUUGGACUGAGUGGUU